UUCUAUGAGAAAACUACCAAGCUAGCAUGGCACAAGAUAGGGACACUGAAGCGGCUAGCAUCAAAGCAUCAAUGGAAGAUAUGUAUUGGUGGGAGGAUGACUUCUACUCUGGAAGACUUGUUGACCUCCCUGAUAACUCCAAGGAUGUGGACACGCUCAAUUUUAGUUUCUCACUACCACACCAAUCAGAUCAUUCUGACGAAUCUUUAGGAUCUUCUGCCAGCGCGGAUAUUCCAGUCCAAGGAUUUGUUUUAUCCAGAGUGCCCUCCUUGGUGAAUCUUUGUAUGAAUGAGGUCAUGUCUAGCAGCGAUGACACAAAACCCAUCCAUGUCCCCCCGGGGCUUGGCCCUCUGUUGAGGAGACAACAGGAAAGAAAGAGGCUGCAAAGAAUCCAGCUGACAUGGCUCUUGAACGAACUCAUUAACAGAGACAAGACUAUUGAGGAUCACUUGCGACCAUGUGUCAACCAUUCCUCCAAACUUCCAGACACAGGUUUCUUUCGUGGUUGCCGUCCGGCAUGGGAAACGGAUCUUAAUGCACGUCAGUAUUUGUAUUGUGGCUACACAUUUGGUAUGUACAGUGACGAGUCCUGCUGGUAUUUACCAGUUGCAGUGGAAGGGAGAGAGACUAGUGACUGGUGUAUUGCUGCUUUGGCCCAUACCAUUCAGAUGAUGCUACCUCUUAGACUUCCUCUUCGUAAGUCAGAACCACAUACUGAAAGGACACAGUCAGAGAAAGAAGCAGUGGAAGUAGCUUUGGAAGCGACCAUCAAGAGAGUCAGCUGCGCCCUUGCAAGAGUCUGCCCAAAGCUUGUCAAAUAUUGUUUUGAGCCUGCAGUCGCUUAUGUAUGGUGGAGCAGAGGUGAUAUGUCAAAAGCCAAAGAAAUAUUUCUAAGAAUCGCUGAGCGAAUGCCAAGUGAUUUGGAAAGUGAUCCUUCACAGAUGAGUGAAGGUGAAGAUGAAGUACAGUCAACAAGUGAGGGUAAAUGGAUCUUGCAGAAAGCUUUGUACUUGAAUGAAGUAGCACGGGCACAUUUGUAUUUUGGCCAGCCAGAACCAGCAGUUACUUAUUAUCAACAAGCUGCAGACCAGUGUUCAACUCACAUCCCUGCUUUAGCAGCAGACUGUUCAAUGCAGAGUUUGAUGCUCAUGGCUACUGCAUUCGAUGAGGGACUUAUGUGCAAUGCACUGGCAGUAAGAGCAGCAGAUUCGUGGAGCACAGCGGUUGUCCAGCCAGAGUAUCACCCAAACAUUGUCCAAAUGGCAGCUGAAUCCUUUUUGCACUGCCACUCAGGAUAUCCAGCUACUCAUGGCGAUUGCCCAGUCGGUCAAAAUACAGCAUGGCUGUUGGAAGCAAAACACCUCUUAAGGGGACUUGCCGCCAGGGCUCCACAGGUAAACCUUCAUCUGUCAUUGGUUGAAGCAAUGCUGGGAUACGUCAUGGAAGCAGAGGAGUCUUACAUGAAUUACGUUCAACAAUACGCAUCACAUAGUCAGGCACUUGCACAACGGAUACCAGGUGCUGUAUCAGUGUUUAUUGGCCCAGACAUAAAGCCUCAUCCGUGGUGGGUGUUCUCAGAAUGGCAAAGCCAUACCAAUAAAUCAGGCAAACAGGGGUUCAUGAAUCCUAAACAUCUGAGAACUCUGCCGUUAGUGUGGAGAAGGCGAUUCAGAUUCUGUGGUUGUGACAUCAGAAGAAUCCAUGAUGAAUAUAUGUAUCAAGACAUCUGGAAUGCACCUUACUGGCCUGUAACAGACAAUCAGGUUAAAAACCUAUGUCUGCACCUGAAUAAAGAUGGUUUUCUAACAGGUUGCUUAAUACAAAACCUUCCACCCUUGAGACCACUGUUGCUUGACCCUUUCACUGGCAGCAUUUGUGUGCCUGACCAAUAUCAUGAAGAAGAGGCACUGCCGUGGAGUAAUUGCAAAUCUGACUUUGGAUCGAAUGAUGUCACCAAGUUUGACUUGACCUUUGACACGUCCAUUCCAACUUCGGUCAAGAUAUACAGCUCUGAUGUGGGUAAUGUUGUCUCCCUUCUCACAUGGAAUGAUAAAAUGGUAGCUGAAAGAGGGACUGUUCAAAGUAAACUUCUGGAACUGGAAGAGGUGGUUGUCACGCAUGCAACACUUUUGUACUUCAGUUGUGAAGGCAGUAGCCACAAGCUGAAUUUAGUUGAGGCAAUCAUGGCUGAGAAAAAGGAGACAAUCUUGGAGCAGCUUAGAAAUGAGGGUUACUGUAAUGAUCCAAAGGUUAUGGAAGAUGCCUUAGAUUUCCUGGAUUUCUGUGUUGUUAAAUCUAAAAAGAUGCAGUUUGACUUUCUAAAAGCUGCAUUGGAUGGAGAUUCCAGGGAAAGGUUAACCCUUAUUGAUAUAAAACGGAAAUUGGGAAAGACACCUGGAAGGUGUGUUAGUUCCAUACAGCUGACCCCAAAACAACAAAAGAAACUGCUAAGGUCUAUUCAGGAAGAUGGGCCUCGUGAACUGGAAACACAUAGCAUUGUCCUCAUGAGAGUAACACUAGUAGGACGAUCUACAGCUGUUCUUGCCUUCUACACAGCAGCAUCAACCACACAUGUAUACGACACCGGUGAAAUUGACACUUUAGUCUUUGUAGACUGCACAAGUCCAGAAACAUUCAAUAAACCUGUAAUUCAUUGCCCUGAUCAACCAAAUGCCACUUGGUGCCUGCCAUCACAGGAUAGUCACGUGGACAAAUCGGCAAAAAUACUUGUUGCAGUUGAAAAAUCCUUCAAACCAAGGCUUGUUAUCUUUGAUACCAAGGGGAUAGUUGUUCAAAGUCAUAGUGUCUGGGACUGUCAGACAUUUGUAGUUGUAGCAAGCAGUCUUGAAAUUCUUGACAAUGAUCCGGAGCACACGGAUAUGGUGCUUCAUACCAAUAAAAUCAAAUCAAGGUUGAGGCUGAUAAGUACAAAUGGAACCAUGCAGUUUCAAACAAAGCCACUUGGAACCAUUGAGCAGUUCAUUCUUGUUGAAAGCAUGGUUUUUGUUUCAUUGAGAGAUCGCAUAUUGAUUCUUGAUUCAGCCACACUGGAACCCAUUGAGACUAGGUACAGAGAAAACGGGCAUAGUACAGACCAACCUUCUUGCCCUUCUGGAAAGAGUGGUGUUCUCUUGACUGGAGAGAGAAGCUUCCUAAAGGCACUGUCGGUAAACAGUCUGUCUGUUACCCCACAGUUUGGCAAGGGUGACAAAUGCAUUCAAGUGAUUCUUGGAGUUGCAAAUCAUGUAUUUGUUCUACAGAGAGCUAAGCACACCGACCGGGUCUCAGCAAAGUCCACGACAAAGUGCCCAUCAGCCCCUGUAACAAUUCUUGCUAAGAUCAUGGUUCCUGGUGUCCCAACAGAAGCUUGUCACCUCAACCAAAUUGAUGGAUUUGUUGUCACCGUCUCUGUGUUUGAAUCAACAGAACUUCCCCUCUACCGUGAGAACCUAUACUGGUUUGGCAUGGAUGGCUGCAUUAGAGGUAUCCACCCCUUUAUUGGACUGGGUCCACAUUGUUUGUUUGCUGCCGAGUUCAAACAGGUCCUAACCAAGGUGGAAGAAGCACAGGAAUUGAAACUUGGAAAGAAUGGAAGAUCAUCAGUCAGUGGCAAGGAUGAUAGGCAGUGGCACAUUUUCUUUGCUGAUGGUCUGGGUGCACUUUGUUGCAUCAAACUUCCAAAUGACUUUUAAUUGUGAAGCAGAUGCAGCUCAAAGACUAACCUUCCAAGGCCAGAAUGAACUUGAUUCAAACAAUCCACAAGGCUUCAAAAUAAACAGGUGGCCAAUUCUGAGUUUAUUCAAAGCUUAUGAUUAUUAAACUCUUCAGCAGUGUCACACAGUGCUUAUGGAACUGGUGUUCUUGUCAGCCUCCUUAUGAAAUGCCCCAAGGAUGUCAAUACCCGGAACUGGCAAUGCUGCCAGUGGCUGAAUCGGCUGGUGAAUCAGGGUAGUCUGUAGCUAUUACUAGUGUGACACCUGUUGCAAUCUUUCUGUUGGGUCCACCAUUGAACAAUAUGCCUCUGGUGGGUAUUGUCCCUUGAAGUGGACUCUAAGCUAGAAAAUAGGGUUCUUUAGAGCUGUCAGCCUGGGCCCUUCUUUUCUACCUGACAUGAUCCAGAUGUCUAAAACCAUUCAGGAUUGAGCAUAUCCUACAAACUCUGCCCUCAUCACAACAUGAUGCCGGCAUGUGAAAUUUGUAAUUGUUCCUUGUCUGAACUACAAGAAGUGAGAUCACUUCAUGCAACAAUCAUGCAAAACUACAUAAACAAUGAAGGUAUAACUUCAAAGUUGUAGGCCUCUGUGGGUCCUUUGUUUUAAAAUAAGCUUGUUCAAUAUGGUUUAAAAUCUAAAGCGACUGUUUUCAAAGAUCACUGCAAAUGACCUCCAUGUAGACAGUUAUAUUUAAGAUGUCAGUUUGGACAGUUAUAUAAAGUCUGGAAUAACCUUGCAACAAAUUGGCUCCUCUGCAACAGUGAAUCAGCCAUGUUAUCUUGCUUACAGGUGAAGUGCUUGUUGUAGUAUUUCUGGAAAGUAGCCUCUGCUCCAUCCUAUCAUCCAAAAAAUUUCUGGGAUGAGUACCUGUAGCCUCCUUGCAGCUGAAGUUGGGGCUGCUCCAGUUGAAUGCGGCUUGAAUUGUCCAGUGUGUCCACUCCUGCAUGGCUCAUGACAAUAUUAAUCCACCCUGCAGUUGUAUUUUUGCUCACUGCUGCAUGUGGCUUCUUGAAGCUAAUGAAAAGCUAGCUUGUUGAUACUCCUUUCUGCCAAGAAAGCUGUGCUGUUUGGCAGAGGUACGUUUUGAGGUUUUGGACAAUUUAUAUUAACUGGCCACUUUCUGGAUCUGAAACUUCAAUGACGUCUUUCUGAAGGAGUUUUGUAAUUUUCAUAUCCACUGCCAAUGCUUCAUCAGACUUUAACCCUAAAAAGAGCCGGGGGGGCCUUGACAUUUUUUCUAAUUUUCACACAGUGCAAAGUGGGAUGUAGAUUCCAUUUGAUCAGUUCCUUCCUGGAGCAGUUCAACUCGAAGUUGGUUGUAGUCCUUCACAAGCUAUCACAAGGGCAGUAAUUCCUUUGAUCAAGGGCUUUUGUACCCUUUCUAGAUUCAGAUCACAAGACUUUGAGUGUGUGUUUAUAUUCUCCAAAAUUUGUGGGUUGACUUUGGGCACAGCAGCCUCACAGUGUAAGAUUGUGUGUUCUUCACAAGCUUGAGUUGUUUUUCCUUGGAUAGUUGCUUCGUUUAUUGUUGAUUCCAGAUGCAGGUUAUUGCUACAUAUACAUGUAUAUUAUAUACAUUUGAUACAUGGGUAGGGUCUAAUACAUGUAAGGUACAAUGAUUGAUGUAUAAAUAGAUGGGGCUAUUAUCCCUAAAAGAUUGGGGGGUGGGCAAAUCCGCCCCCCUAAACACUUUUUCCAAAUUAAACCUUAGGAAUUUUAGAGUAACUUUUUACUGUCAUUUUGACACCAAUUUUGCAAAAGUCAAACAUACUGUUCUUGCACAGUGUAUAUUUUCCUGUGCAGGUAAGCCAAAAAAGUAUACUUUUUCCAUUGCAGUGCUCAAUGCAUGUGGACUGAUAUGAAUGUAAUGUAGCCUUGAACUUCAAAUGACCGUUACAACAAAACCGCAAGUUUGACUUCAAACUUUGCUUUUGACACGACAAGAGGUGUCUUUACAUGCAUGCCAAGUUUCAAAACAAUUGAAUGUGGCACAGCUGAGUCCCAGGGGAGGGGCAGAAUUCCCCCCCCCCCUAUGUGAGAUGGGUCAAAGUAACCUGGCUCAUUUAGCGUUAAGAUCUAAAGGAGGGCAGAGCUAUAAGGGCAUUCUUAUAAGGGUACUGUUGCUGGGUAGAAGUACUUGUUCUUAGCACUUUCCCUAAGCCCAGAUGAAGGUGUUAUUUGUUCGUGUAUGGACAGCAUUUUGGCCGAAAACCAAUAGUAGAGUGACAAGGUUUUAUGUCAUCCUUAUUGUGGACUCCUGUUGCACAUUUUGAGCACGUUUUGUCAGCUUACGGCCAGAUGGCAAUUGGUCUAACUAGUGAUGGCAGUAGAUCAGAUUGCACUAUGAUGAUUUACACUGUGGGCUGCUUGGUUGGAUGAUUGCUGCUAGUGUCAGAUUUUGGCUUGCCACUUGCUUGAGUUGUUUCUUUGGUGAUUGCCUGUUUUAUUAUUGAUUCCGGAUGCGGGGUAUUGCUAUAUUAUUUAACAAUAGUUGACUGCUGUGAUGUGGAUAUGACGUUUUGAAAAUUAGGCCAACUGUCAAACUGUAUAAUUAACAGUGUUGUCUGCGAAUGCACUGUUCCCUCACUUUCUGUACUUGCGUAAUGUGAAAGAAGUGCGAGUACCAGUGAGUACAAGUUCAUAUGUCAUGCAGUCUGGUUAAUGGUCCCUGCAUUACCUCAUAUGCUGCGGGGACGUGAAUGAGCCUGUUGUAUGAGCGCGAGCAUGGAUUGAAUUCCCUGGUAACCAUAGGUACCACGCAAAAUUGAUUAAAUGAGCAACAACAGUUGCUCUCGAACUUCCCAAAGCUCUUCUGUCAGAUGCAUUUGCUCUUGGCAGAAUGAGAUGUCUCACUGUGAGUGUGAUAUGCAGAUAUGUCGCCCUGGCGUGUAAUCAUUCUGGGCCAAUGAACAGACGGUAUCCAAGACAGAGGUAUGACAAAUACAUUUUGAUACUUGGGAUAGGGCAUAACAUGGUACAGUGAUUGAUGUGUUACCCUGUCAGUUGCCUAGCUAUCUCACAACCAGCUUUUCAAGCCAGACAAUGCGCUUUACAACUUCACUGCCUGUAGCUCCUUUUGGAUUUGAAGACAUGGUGUUCUCGGAUUUUCCUCAUCAGCCAAUGUUGAUUUCACGGUGACUUUCAACUUCUUGUCUAGUUUACUGGACAGCAAUGCCAUGUUGGCUUUGGGAACACUUGGUCAUCUGCUUGAUGGGUUUUGCUGCUGAUUUUUCGGCCUCAUUUGGUCUGAAUAUUGAAUCAUGUUUUCCAUACUUCUGCUAGGCAGUCUCUAGGGGUAGAUCCUGUGAUUUGAACGCUGAAAUUUUAGGAUAUUGUUGCUUUGUCACUAGGAAUAGAAGAGCAAACUCUGCUGUUUAAAAUGUGAAAACAAAAUCAGAAACAUUUUCUGUUUCGACUGCACGCAAUGAUGUACGGAUGGGCAUGCACAACUGGAAUCUCACAGAAUCUCUUGUGAUAUUUUGAAAUGGAAAUUUACAAUUAUAUUCUGCAUGGUACUAGUGAGAUUGUGUCAGACAUCAGGGCCACAAUUGUUCCAUUGACGUCUGCCUGGUGCUCCUGGACGAUGAUCGGGAUCGGCUAAUGCCACCAAUUAAUUGUGACUUUAAUCAACUUUUAACCAGUAAUGAAAUCUAUUAGAAUUGAAAUUGUCAGUGUGUUGACAUGAAGUCCCGACAUGCUUUUUGUUCUGGAAUCAACAAAACUUUCCCAAAGGAAGUCAAUUUAGUUUUUUAACAUUUCUGAAAACAAGCAGUCUGAUCCUUCUUCUGAAGGCAAUGAAUUUCAGUAAAAAAAAUCAAAAACAGCAACCUGCAAAGAUAAUGACUUAUAUGAUGUAUAAAAGGAAAAAUGAAAUGUUGUAAAUUGGCUGCAAGGUAGCAGGCCUAGUUUUCUGAAUGAUAAGGAAACAAACAAAAUGGAUAGAGGUGGACACACCUUGACUGAUAAACUGAAAUGCGUAGCAUGAACCUGAUAAGUGUGCUCAACUCAGUUGUGAGGCAAUGUGUUCUAGGUGGCAGUUAACAGUACACAUAUCCCAAUGUGUGAAAUUCUGUACUGUUCAACCUUUCCAAUUGCCAAUUGCACUCGUUCAUGUGUUAGAAUUUUUAUUGUAUGUUUAACAAGGAAAAUUGAAGAGCAUUGAAACUUACGUAAUUUAGGUUGAUAUUAAACUUUGCAUUACUCAAUGUUUUACAAAGGGUAACUUACAUUUUGAUAUUGGUUUUUAAUAAGCAUACACGUCAUAAUGUUUUGCAUUUUGUUGUUUGAAUUACCUGUUUUGCUCACUAUAGGUCAAUUAAAGUAUUAAUUGACUUCCGCUCUAUAUGAAAAUAUUAAUAUUGCCAUUGCCAUGUUGCUAUUUGCUUUAAAAAAUAUCCAAUAUUAUUGCAGUGAUAUCAAGUGCAUGUAUCUAAAAGGCUGCAUUUAUUUAAAGACACUGCUCAUAACAUUGAUAGCUUGGUCUGUUUCAUCACUAAGCUCAUACAUUUUAUGUUGUGCACGUAUGUAAUCGAUUCCAAAAAGCAGAUAAAAAUAAGUAAAAGUUAAACUUUACUUAUUGAAUCAAAGUAAAAUACUUCCUUCUAGCAGUUGUUGAUCCAGAUGGAAUGUUUCUGGGUCAAACCCACCCCACUGCUCUUACAGCAAAAAAAAUGAACAAUUGAAGUAACAAUUUGCAGCCAUAAUUCUAAAAAAAUGACAUCUUGUAUUAAAAGGGUACCGUAAUUGUACAUGUACACCAGUAACAAUGUAAUGACUAGAUACAUGUAUAUUUGUCUGUCGGUCACCAACAAUAAUAUUGGUCACACAAAAAAAAAUUGAGCCUGACUCCCCUCCCCUGGACAAAAAUUACUGGAUUUGCCAAGUUCUCUGGUUUGGUUAUCGCAAAGCCAUGAAAAGGUAAAGAAACAUUCAACAGUAAAACAUUGCAAGGUAUGGUUUUGAUGGAUUGAACAGUCAUGUUGCUUGUGGAAUGAUUGGGGAUUAGCCAGGGGUCUUGUUAAAGAAAUCCUUUUUGGUUUUUGGUUUUUUUUCGUCAAAGACUUUGUUUGAGGAGGUUUUAAUUUCCUCUUACAGGGAAAUUUAAAACAAAAUACUUUGUAAUUCAUUAGUACAUUAGUUUAAAGAAGAAGCCAUGAUUGAAAUUUUGCUCAGACUUUGAAUCUGAAAAGUGUAUCAAGGGAUUUUUUAUUUAGGUUGUGCCUUUUUUCUGUUUAUGCUGUAAUUUUGAAGGGUACACUUGAAUGUUUUAACAUUUGAUUUUCAAUGUCCAUUAAGUGUGGUUUAUACUGUACAGAAUAUAAGUCACAUAAGUGUUACCAAAGUAUGUGAUAUUGAAGUAACUUUUUUAUCUAAUCACUCAUAUUUGAAAUACUUUUCAAUAGAGUUUUAUUCUCUGUUGUAUCCAACGGCCCAACAAUAUCUCAUUCUGCUUGUUGAAUCAGAGGGUGAUUUUCGUAUCGUACAAUUUAAUAAUUGUAUUGGAUUACUCCCUCAUCCCCACCACCCAAAAAGAUUAUAGCAAAUAACAGAAGAUGUAUAAAAUUUGGCUACCAUUGCUAUUCUAACAUAUAAAUAAUAAUUGAAAAAUGGUUUUAAGUUCGUGUACCCUAAAAAAGCGAUAACAAUCAAUGAAUAUAAAAACAACCAUCAGGCCCACCAGAAACAAUCUGUUAAGCCUAUAGAUAGAGAUUUGUAAAGAAGGCGUGGAUCGAAUUCCAAUCCCAUAUUUCUGGUAAAGGAUAGGCCUGUAAUGGAAAUCAAUGUUUAAAUCAAAUUUAGGUUGAAAAAUGGGACUGUUAACAAUCCGUAGAACUUUCUACUUUAUAAACAAUGAAAUAUUUUCGAAGUGACAGAGCUAUUAUCAGGCUCCUCGAUACUUGAGAGUAUUACUUGCCAUAUCUGGCUUUGUGAUAACAUGUAUGUAGAGUGAGAAGUGAUGUAUGCAUUGGUCUUACGGAAGGGACUUAUCCAUUUGCAGAAUUGUUCGUUGUGGACACAUUCAAAAUGAACAGUUAAACUGUGAUUUUUAGAUAAGGGAGUUACUGGUGUCCAGCUGGAUGCAACAACAAAGUGUUUCCUCCAAACAUGAUUUCAGUUAGAAAAUCUAGUUGCUCUUGACUUGACCUGGUGCAUUGUUGAAGUUUACAAUUAUUGUAUCACAUAUAUAAUGGCUUAUCCCAGGUGUGAAAUGAAGAGAAUGAAAUGAAAGGGCAACAAAGUGUACUUUUUAAUAAUGAGCAAUUCUGCUUGCAAAUGUUCAAAGAAAUAAAAUAGCCAUCUCAUUUUA
rnacentral:misc_RNA from 1 species